GGGUGCGAUCGUACCAGCACUAAUGCACCGGAUCCCAUCAGAACUCCGAAGUUAAGCGUGCUUGGGCGAGAGUAGUACUAGGAUGGGUGACCUCCUGGGAAGUCCUCGUGUUGCACCCC
rnacentral:rRNA from 1 species